GGGCGCUUGGUCUAGGGGUAUGAUUUUCGCUUUGCACGAACAGUUCGGCAUCGCUGUCGCUCUGCUUCUAAAGUCUGUGAACGGUCGCGGGUUCAAUUCCCGCAGUGUCCA
rfam:Cyphellophora europaea CBS 101466 unplaced genomic scaffold supercont1.14, whole genome shotgun sequence.